rnacentral:rRNA from 1 species
CCUACGGGAGGCAGCAGUGAGGAAUAUUGGUCAAUGGACGGAAGUCUGAACCAGCCAUGCCGCGUGCAGGAAGACGGCUCUAUGAGUUGUAAACUGCUUUUGUACAAGGGUAAACCUGAAUACGUGUAUUCAGCUGACAGUACUGUACGAAUAAGGAUCGGCUAACUCCGUGCCAGCAGCCGCGGUAAUACGGAGGAUCCAAGCGUUAUCCGGAUUUAUUGGGUUUAAAGGGUGCGUAGGCGGAUUGAUAAGUUAGAGGUGAAAUGUCCGAGCUUAACUCGGGAACUGCCUCUAAUACUGUUGAUCUAGAGAGUAGAUGCGGUAGGCGGAAUGUAUGGUGUAGCGGGGAAAUGCUUAGAGAUCAUACAGAACACCGAUUGCGAAGGCAGCUUACCAAUCUAUAUCUGACGUUGAGGCACGAAAGCGUGGGGAGCAAACAGGAUUAGAUACCCCAGUAGGC